GACAGAGGGUGCAAACGUUGUUCGGAAUUACUGGGCGUAAAGCGAGUGUAGGCGGUUUGGUAAGUCGGAUGUGAAAGCCCCGGGCUCAACCCGGGAAGUGCACUCGAUACUGCCAAGCUAGAGUAUCGGGAGAGGUUGGUGGAAUUCUCGGUGUAGAGGUGAAAUUCGUAGAUAUCGAGAGGAACACCGGUGGCGAAGGCGGCCAACUGGACGAAUACUGACGCUGAGACUCG
rnacentral:rRNA from 1 species